rnacentral:lncRNA from 1 species
GCGAGCUCCGCCUCUGGGAUCUCUCCACCGGCCUCACCACCCGCCGCUUCGUCGGCCACGAGAAGGACGUCAUCUCCGUCGCCUUCUCCGUCGACAACCGCCAGAUCGUCUCCGCGUCCCGCGACAAGACCAUCAAGCUCUGGAACACCCUCGGUGAGUGCAAGUACACCAUUGGCGGCGACCUCGGCGGCGGCGAGGGCCACAACGGCUGGGUCUCCUGCGUCAGGUUCUCACCCAACACCUUCGCGCCCACUAUUGUCUCCGGCUCCUGGGACCGCACCGUCAAGGUCUGGAACCUUACCAACUGCAAGCUGCGCUGCACCCUCGAUGGC